rnacentral:piRNA from 1 species
UACAUAUACUACCUGUAGGAUAAUGCACU